rnacentral:lncRNA from 1 species
AAAGAUGUUUCUACAAUAGAUUUUGAAUUUGAUCUAAUCAAGUCCAACUCAAUGGGUUUACUAGAUUGUGUCAGUUCUUCUACUAAUCGAACUUCAUCAAGUUCAAUCUUUGAGGCAUUAGUUCUUUCUCUAAAAAACUCUUUUUCUAGAAAGACUACCCUAUUGCUGACGAACACCUUCUGCUCAUCAGCAAGGUAGAAGUAAUAUCCCUUGGUGUCUUUUGGAUACCCUACAGAUAGGCACUUGUCAGACCUAGGUCCAAGCUUGUCAGUUUUCAGACGUUUGACAUAAG